rnacentral:rRNA from 1 species
AUUGAACGCUGGCGGCAGGCCUAACACAUGCAAGUCGAACGAGUGGCGGACGGGUGAGAAAUGUCUGGGAAACUGCCUGCUGGAGGGGGAUAACUACUGGAAACGGUAGCUAUUACCGCAUACCAUCAGAUGUGCCCAGAUGGGAUUAGCUUGUAGGUUGGGUAACGGCUCACCAAGGCCACGGUCCCUAGCUGGUCUGAGAGGAUGACCAGCCACACGUGAACUGAGAACCGGUCCAUGCUCCGACGGGAGGCAGCAGUGGGGAGUAUUGCACAAUGGACGAAAGCCUGAUGCAGCAAUGCCGCGUGUAUGAAGAAGGCCUUCGGGUUGUAAAGUACUUUCAGCGGGGAGGCGUUACCCGCAGAAGAAGCACCGGCUAACUCCGUGCCAGCAGCCGCGGUAAUAC